AUACGUAGGGAGCGAGCGUUGUCCGGAAUUACUGGGUGUAAAGGGAGCGUAGGCGGGAGUGCAAGUCAGAUGUGAAAUGCAUGGGCUUAACCCAUGAGCUGCAUUUGAAACUGCAUUUCUUGAGUGAAGUAGAGGUAAGCGGAAUUCCUGGUGUAGCGGUGAAAUGCGUAGAUAUCAGGAGGAACACCGGUGGCGAAGGCGGCUUACUUGGCUUUUACUGACGCUGAGGCUCGAAAGCGUGGGGAGCAAACAGGAUUAGAUUCCCUGGUAGUCCACGCUGUAAACGAUGAUUACUAGGUGUGGGGGGACUGACCCCUUCCGUGCCGCAGUUAACACAAUAAGUAAUCCACCUGGGGAGUACGGCCGCAAGGUUGAAACUCAAAUGAAUUGGCGGGG
rnacentral:rRNA from 1 species